rnacentral:rRNA from 1 species
UCGCGGCCUAUCAGCUUGUUGGUGAGGUAAUGGCUCACCAAGGCGACGACGGGUAGCCGGCCUGAGAGGGUGACCGGCCACACUGGAACUGAGAUACGGUCCAGACUCCUACGGGAGGCAGCAGUGGGGAAUAUUGCACAAUGGGCGCAAGCCUGAUGCAGCAACGCCGCGUGAGGGAUGAAGGCCUUCGGGUUGUAAACCUCUUUUAGCAGGGAAGAAGCGAAAGUGACGGUACCUGCAGAAAAAGCACCGGCUAACUACGUGCCAGCGGCCGCGGUAAUACGUAGGGUGCGAGCGUUGUCCGGAAUUACUGGGCGUAAAGAGCUCGUAGGUGGUUUGUCGCGUCGUCUGUGAAAUCCCGGGGCUUAACCUCGGGCGUGCAGGCGAUACGGGCAUAACUUGAGUGCUGUAGGGGAGACUGGAAUUCCGGGUGUAGCGGUGAAAUGCGCAGAUAUCAGGAGGAACACCAAUGGCGAAGGCAGGUCUCUGGGCAGUAACUGACGCUGAGGAGCGAAAGCAUGGGUAGCGAACAGGAUUAGAUACCCUGGUAGUCCAUGCCGUAAACGGUGGGCGCUAGGUGUAGGGGACUUCCACGUCUUCUGUGCCGCAGCUAACGCAUUAAGCGCCCCGCCUGGGGAGUACGG